UCUCUCGGGAGCUUUCCCC
rnacentral:snRNA from 1 species